rnacentral:rRNA from 1 species
UGGGGAAUUUUUGGACAAUGGGCGAAAGCCUGAUCCAGCAAUGCCGCGUGUGUGAAGAAGGCCUUCGGGUUGUAAAGCACUUUUGUCCGGAAAGAAAUCCUUGGCUCUAAUACAGUCGGGGGAUGACGGUACCGGAAGAAUAAGCACCGGCUAACUACGUGCCAGCAGCCGCGGUAAUACGUAGGGUGCAAGCGUUAAUCGGAAUUACUGGGCGUAAAGCGUGCGCAGGCGGUUUGCUAAGACCGAUGUGAAAUCCCCGGGCUCAACCUGGGAACUGCAUUGGUGACUGGCAGGCUAGAGUAUGGCAGAGGGGGGUAGAAUUCCACGUGUAGCAGUGAAAUGCGUAGAGAUGUGGAGGAAUACCGAUGGCGAAGGCAGCCCCCUGGGCCAAAUACUGACGCUCAUGCACGAAAAGCGUGGGGAGCAAACAGGAUUAGAUACCCUGGUAGUCCACGCCCUAAACGAUGUCAACUAGUUGUUGGGGAUUCAUUUCCUUUAGUAACGUAGCUAAGCGCGUGAAGUUGACCGCCUGGGGAGUACGGUCGCAAGAUUAAAACUUAAAGGAAUUGACGGGGUCAU